GUGUCAGCAGCCGCGGUAAUUAGAAACCCCCGUAGUCCGAGUGAUGGCCGAUCUUAUUGGGCCUAAAGCGUCCGUAGCUGGCUGAACAAGUCCGUUGGGAAAUCUGUCCGCUUAACGGGCAGGCGUCCAGCGGAAACUGUUCAGCUUGGGACCGGAAGACCUGAGGGGUACGUCUGGGGUAGGAGUGAAAUCCUGUAAUCCUGGACGGACCGCCGGUGGCGAAAGCGCCUCAGGAGAACGGAUCCGACAGUGAGGGACGAAAGCUAGGGUCUCGAACCGGAUUAGAAACCCCCGUAGUCC
rnacentral:rRNA from 1 species